GCCUGGGUGGCGGAAUUGGUAGACGCAACAGACUUAAAAUCUGUCGCUCUUUAUGGGCGUGCCGGUUCGACUCCGGCCCUAGGCACCA
rnacentral:tRNA from 1 species